UACGAAGGGGGCUAGCGUUGCUCGGAAUCACUGGGCGUAAAGGGUGCGUAGGCGGGUUUUUAAGUCAGGGGUGAAAUCCUGGAGCUCAACUCCAGAACUGCCUUUGAUACUGGCGAUCUUGAGUCCGGGAGAGGUGAGUGGAACUGCGAGUGUAAAGGUGAAAUUCGUAGAUAUUCGCAAGAACACCAGUGGCGAAGGCGGCUCACUGGCCCGGUACUGACGCUGAGGUGCGAAAGCGUGGGGAGCAAACAGG
rnacentral:rRNA from 1 species